GAUCCUGGCUCAGGAUGAACGCUAGCUACAGGCUUAACACACGCAAGUCGAGGGGCAGCAUGGUCUUAGCUUGCUAAGGCCGAUGGCGACCGGCGCACGGGUGAGUAACGCGUAUCCAACCUGCCUUACACGUCUUGGACAGCCUUCUGAAAGGGAGAUUAAUACAAGAUGUUAUCAUGAGUAAGCAUUUCGCAUGAUUAGAGGUUUACCGGUGUAAGAUGGGGAUGCGUU
rnacentral:rRNA from 1 species